CCCUUAGAUGUCCUGGGCUGCACGCGCGCUACACUGAUGUGUCCAGUAAGCACCUAACCUAUUCCGAGAGGAGCGGGUAACCUUAGCAAAGCACAUCGUGAUGGGGAUAGAUUAUUGCAAUUAUUAGUCUUGAACGAGGAAUUCCUAGUAAGCACAAGUCAUCAGCUUGUGUUGAUUACGUCCCUGCCCUUUGUACACACCGCCCGUCGCUCCUACCGAUUGAAUGGUUUAGUGAGAUCUUCGGAUUGGCGCCACUGCGGCUCAGCAAUGGGCUCGGUGGAUGCCGAAAAGUUGAUCAAACUUGAUCAUUUAGAGGAAGUAAAAGUCGUAACA
rnacentral:rRNA from 1 species